UCACUUUGUAUAUGCAUUUCAAAGAUGGUGCGCCUUGUGUUUAUCCGGGCUGUUCCAACAGGAAGUGUCCUGGUCACCAUGUAGAUUUCACCGGGUUCCAUUGAAUAAUAUUGGCCUUAAACAGCAGUGGCUAGUUAUACUGAACAUAGACAUCAACACUGCACAUGCAAGAGUGAACAACUCCGCGUUUGCAGCGAUCAUUUCUCUGAAGAGGAUUAUAUAAUACCACGGCCAAUAAGCAAGAUAGACACUUGCUGAAGCGUACUGCUGUACCCAACCAUCAGGCAGGUACUUCACAAAGCACAAUUCAGGAAAAACAUGAGGAACAGCAAAUGUUUUCUGGGGUCCCACAAUCCAAAAAGGCACCAGGCCAUCAGGCCUCCAUAUUAGAAUCACAACUGAAGCUUGUUCACACCAGAUCUGAACAAUCCCUCCACAGAGAAAGACCAUCAACCUCUGGAGCUUACCUGGCCUUUCCUGCCGUUACGUAUGGGGGGUGGGUAAUAUAGUUCCCUGCCAUAAUACUACUCUCUGGGUUUGUAGUAGCAAUAUAUUUCAAUUCAUUAUCUGCAACCAGGUGUUUCGAGUGUGUCUGUGUUGUAUUUUACAGCUGCAUGACACCUGGGCAGUAAUGGACAGACCACCAGGCCAGGUCAGAAGCAUAGGUGAGUCAGUGAAUGGUCUUCACUAUCUAUUGUGGUUAAGAGGUGCUUGUGAAUAAUAAAUAACACUAUAUGUCCUAUACGUAGACACAGCAGUGCAUUAUGGUCAUGUGUGGCUGCUGUGAUGUUCAUGGGGGACAUUGUGGAUGCAACGCAGACGAUCAGCAAACCAGGUCUUAAGACUUGUGUAAGAGACAGAGGUUCAUAUGCAAACAGCUGAUUCCUUUUGGCAAACAGAGCCUGAAAACAGUGUCUUGUAUAGGAAUUAUUUUCUGUGCAACAAAUGUUUCAAACUAAGCCCUUCAUCAGCAUGCUUAAUGUCAUACAGCAGACCAUUCACAAUUGGCAGCAAUAAAUAAGCAUUGAGAAUAAGGAGUUGUCAAAAAGAGACAAAGUAUUGCUUUAGAGGCCCCCAAUGGUUUGACGAGUUCAUUGCAAUGUUUUUAUGAAGGUCUACAGUUAUCUACAUCUCGCAAAACAGAAGUGUCAAAUGAUACACAUCUCCUGCAGUUUUAUAUUGUGAACUUUAUCAGUAUCAAUAGGGAUUGAUCAAGCUCCGGUUUUCUUUCUGUAUACUCCAAAACUAUUUUUGUCCUGUAAGUUUCUGAUGUUCCUCACCUUGUGAAGACAGUUUGUAUAGCCACUGUUGGCUGCGGAUGUUUGUUGGUUUUAACCUUGUAUGAAAAUGACUUACUCCUUUUAACUGAAAAGAUAGUUUUGACUGACCAUACCGAUAUUAAUUCACAGGUAUUCAAGUCAAUGUACCCGAGACAUGCACUGCAGCCACGGAGAACAGACCAGCUCUGCAGCACAUGGUUGAUGAGGAGGCCAUCCUGCAGCUGAUGAAGGACUGCCCGAUGUGCGACAGAAAGUGCCGCUGUAGCAAAUACACUCGC